rnacentral:rRNA from 1 species
GACGAACGCUGGCGGCGUGCUUAACACAUGCAAGUCGAACGGUAAGGCCCUUCGGGGUACACGAGUGGCGAACGGGUGAGUAACACGUGGGUGAUCUGCCCUGCACUUCGGGAUAAGCCUGGGAAACUGGGUCUAAUACCGGAUAGGACCACUGCCUGCAUGGGUGGUGGUGGAAAGCUUUUGCGGUGUGGGAUGGGCCCGCGGCCUAUCAGCUUGGUGGUGGGGUGAUGGCCUACCAAGGCGACGACGGGUAGCCGGCCGGAGAGGGUGACCGGCCACACUGGGACCGAGAUACGGCCCAGACUCCUACGGGAGGCAGCAGUGGGGAAUAUUGCACAAUGGGCGCAAGCCUGAUGCAGCGACGCCGCGUGAGGGAUGACGGCCUUCGGGUUGUAAACCUCUUUCAGCACCGACGAAGCGCAAGUGACGGUAGGUGCAGAAGAAGGACCGGCCAACUACGUGCCAGCCGCCGCCGUAA